AUGGGUUUUUUUCUGACUCUCUGUGACUUUAUUUGGGGUUUUCUUGGCAAAGGUACUUGGAGUGGUUGUCAUUUCCUUCUCCAGAACAUUUUACAGAUGAGAAAACUGAGGCAAACAGGGUUAAAUAGUUUGCCUAUGGUCACACAGCUAGGCAGGAUCCAAGUGGAAUCUCGAGGGAAGCCAAGGCAAAUAAGGAAGAGAAGAAGAAAGGAGAGAGGAGAGAAGGAGAGAAGGGGAGAGAGAGAAAGAGAGAGAGGGAGAGAGGGAGGGAGAGAGAGAGAGAGAGGGAAGGAAGAGGAGGAGGGAAAGAGGGAGAGAAGGCCAUUUAAAAAUGCAUCUGCAUUGUCAUUUUUAGCAACGAGAUAA
rnacentral:lncRNA from 1 species